rnacentral:sRNA from 1 species
GCUGGGCAUGAUAGCGCAUGCCUUUAAUCCCAGCACUUGGGAGGCUGAGACAGGAGGAUCAUGAGUUCAAAGCCAGCCUCAGCAAAAAAAGUGAGGUGCUAAGUAACUCAGUGAGACCCUGUCUCUA